CUUUAAAUGUCAAGAAACGAAACCUGGAAGGUUGAUAAAAGAGUUUUUAAUAAAAACCUUUAAAUAUGAAGGAUACAGGAGAAAACAGGAGGGCAGUGUUAUAGCCCAAAGAAAGGAAACAAAAGAAAUUUCUGCUACACAGCAGAAAUUUAUUUCUCACAGUUCUCAGGCCAGAAAGUCCGAGAUCAAGGUGCCAGAUGAUUGAGUUCCUAGUGAAGACUCUCCUUCUAGCUUGCAGAUUUUCGCCUUCUCUCUGUGCCCUCACCUGGCAGCGACAGCGAGCAAGCCUACAGAUACAGCCACACUGCGUGUCAGGGUUUCAACUUAUGAAUUUGAGGGGGACCUGAUUCAGUCCAAAGCGUGUGGAAAGGAUCCCAAAGGUGAGCAGAGCAGUUUGAGCAGAGCUUAGCAAGGACAACUCGUUUCAACUCUACAUGGUAUCAUCUGUGAUGGCUUGACUGGCAAGUGGAGAAUCCACAUUUACGAAUCCACUAUCCUCCAUGGAGACAGACACCACCAAGGACAAGCACCUGGAUUAUCUCUUCCCCACAACGAGACACAGGCUGGUGGGAAAGCUGCUGACCAGCAAGUUCAUGGGCUCCCUCCUCUCUGCAAGUGUCUCAAGGCCAAAACCAGGCUGGUGGGAAAGCUCCGACCAGCAAGGCCAUAUGCUCCCCCUCCCCUACCUAAAACCCCAAAUAAAAACCCUUCCUUUUAGCUUUUUGGGGAGUUUGGGAUUUCAGCGUUAGCUGCACUCUCUCCUUGCUCAGAGCUGUGCAAAAAUAAAAUUCCUACUUUCUUCCACCACACCCGGUGUCAGAGACUGGCUUGCUGUGCAACGGGUGAGCAAACUCACUUCAGGUUCGGUGUCAUAAAUGUUCCUUGUUUGAAGAAGAAACCAGAAAGUUGUCAGUGCCCAUCACUUCUCCAAAGGGCCUCUUCUUUUCCUUGCCUGUGAUGAGAUGUCAAGGUCAUGAAAUAGUUCUGUCCACACUUCCUGAUUUUCAGUUUCUAAGAUACACAAGUCAUGGUUGAGCAAGUGUUACUCCUUAGCAAUCCUCGUGACUUAGCGCUGUCAAUUCUUCCCUCUAGAGAGAAGAUGCCAACUGUCCCAUUGUUGUGCCUUUAAAAGUUAUUGUCAAAAUUAUUUGCAAUGUCUACCAGUUGAAUGUUUAUUCAACUUUAGAUUGUACGUCUUUUAGAAUUAUAUUAACCUGAAAAAUCAUUUGGCUGUUACAUACGAUUUAGAACUUGAAUAUUCUGAAUAGUAGAACCAC
rnacentral:lncRNA from 1 species